AUAGUUAGCGGUCGCUAACUAAUGCUGUUGAAGUUAGCGGGUGCGAACUAUACUUAGCGGGCGCGAACUUGCACUGUUCAGUUCGCUGUUUUUCUAUUUAAAGACCCCUUAUUCGACCUAAACUCUUUUCCUUCGACUUUUAAAACCCUAAAACGGCUGGAGUCAUAUUCUAACUCAUUCCUAUCAACAUUCCUCUCAAUUUUAAUCCUUGGCUGAUUUGGGUUGAUUGAUUUCUGGGUUUUAUUGUUCUUAGUCUAAUCAAGAGACCCGUCGACUGCUCGUGUUUCGGAGUCUACGCAUGGUUAGCUGUUUGCCAAGAUUUACGUGGAUAAGCAAGCAG